CCAAAACCCUUUCUUUGCUUUAGUUCCACGUGAAGUGCGUUGUUGCCCCUCUCCUUGCUUCAGGCCGCCGUCAACCACCUCGCCUGACCGCCGCCUGCUUCUCCAUCGUCGUCCCUCUCCUCGCUCUCCUUUACCACCGCCACCACCAGCGCUCACCACUUGCACCGCGCAACCAGCCUCGCCGCACCGUCGCUGCCACCGUGCAUUUUUAUUGCGCCGCUAGCCAGCCUUAACCUUCUCCUUUCGCAAGCAACAGUGCAGCUCUUCACGAGCCUCCUCGCCGCCGCGCAACACCACCUUCGUCAACCAGCCAUCCGUCGCCGCCGCACCAUACGCCGCUGCCCAAUCUUCUCCUCUCCUCCUUGAUUUCGGCGGAGAAUUCUCUGUAGGCGACUUUUGAAUUAUUAAAGUGGUCUUGCAGUUUGUUUACACAAGUCUCUAAGGAUCAAUAAGCAUUGCCCAUCUACAGGUUUGAAGAUGAUGCAUCAUUGGGAUCGGGAUUAGAGAGCUUGUAGUUAUAUUUGUUUUAUUAAGUGAUCUGGUUUGUUAACUUAUAUUUGAAAGUUGUCAUACUAUUCGUAUUUCCUUAUUUCCGUUAAUUGGUUUUGGACUUAAUAUGUAAUCGAUUAUUUAUGAACCUAAAAGUUAGUUUUAUGUUUUCCGCUGCAAAAUUCUGA